CCGAGAAGCAGCAACAACCCAGUCUUGCACAUCCUAACUCUGAGUCCUUAUUGGAUAUUUGAAGAUAAGUGCUCUCAGUUGGGAUGAGCCAGGCUGAGGACCAACUAUCCAAAGCUU
rnacentral:precursor_RNA from 12 species